rnacentral:rRNA from 1 species
AGAAUCAACGCUGGCGGCGUGCCUAACACAUGCAAGUCGAACGAGAAAGUGGAGCAAUCCAUGAGUAAAGUGGCGACCGGGUGAGUAACACGUGACUAACCUACCUUCGAGUGGGGAUAACCUCGGGAAACCGGGCUAAUACCGCAUAAAAUCUUUGGAUCGGAAGAACUGGAGAUCAAUGGAGCAAUUCGCUUGAAGAGGGGGUCGCGGCUGAUUAGCUAGUUGGCGGGUAAUGGCCCACCAAGGCUUUGAUCGGUA